GGUAAGAAAGUUAAUUGUCAUGCUCCACCACAUUUCACAACAACGGCAAUGUAGUUUCUCAAUUAAAAUUUGAUUUUUUUCAUAAUCAUUGUCAAUUGCAUGUGAUUUGUUGAAAUUGGUUCUAUAAUAGAUUUUCUAUUGGAGGCAAGAGUAUUCAAAAUUACAUUUUCUCAAAACAGUCCUUUGUAGAAAGCUUGUCCAGCCGUACCAAACUUGGUUUGCACAAUCCCUUUAAGGCACCAUAGAGGAAGUGACAAGAUAUCUCACUGGUAUCAAUGAAAAUCAAUAGGUUUUGAUGUAGACAAAUAGCAGCUUUAUGUGUGGAAGCAAGCAACUCUCCUAUGAUAAAUGUAGAACCUGCUUUAGGCGCUUCAGUCAGAUUAAAAAGAUAUUGCUGCAUUUUAACUGGGCUGAAUUAGUUUGUAUAUUCGGAUCUGAAAGUAAACAGACUAAGGGGUCUAAUUAGUUUGGUUUGUUUUUCUUG